UCAAUGGUCCUCGUGACACAAGAAAAAGGCAAGGAACCAGGCUGCCCUGCAGCCUCAAAGUCAUUGGAUCUAUCCAGGAGGGCGACCUGGAGUCAUCUUCAAGAGCUCAGAGCUUCUGUCAAGUGACCUUGGCCAACUCACUUCCCCUCUCUGACCUUCAGUUUUCAUCUGAUAAACCAGAGAUAAUAUUCCCUCUGUAGCAAGUUCAAAGAGGAUUAAACAAGAUGACAUACAUAAAAUAGCAAAAGACUGAUUUCCCCGUCGAGGCCAGUGUGAAGCAAAGAUCAUCUGCUGCAUAACAUGCUCUGUGCCAGGCACUCUCACCCAUGACACGCCAUCUAUCCUGUGGUCUAGAACACUAUGUUGCAUUUAUUUUUUUACGUGUCUGACGUUCUCUCAGAGUACUUUGAGUCUCUGGAGGUAUGGAAGCAUACGGGAAAGAAAAGCCAAGUGGAUCUGUGCAUAGAACCUGUUUUGCAUCUAACUAGCUGCCAAUCAGACAUGAGCAAGACUUUCAAGGGGUGUUUAGACAAAAAACACCUUAAUCCAUCAAGUGUAAGGCAUUCAUAUACAACUGGCAAAGAAUAUAAUCAAUAAUCAGAACAGAGGUAACCCUCACCUCCUUUUAAAAUCCUAUGCUUAAAGAUUUGCA
rnacentral:lncRNA from 1 species